CCCUUAGAUGUCCUGGGCCGCACGCGCGUUACACUGAUGCAUUCAACGAGCUUACAACCUUGGCCGAGAGGCCUGGGCAAUCUUGUUAACGUGCAUCGUGAUAGGGAUAGAUUAUUGAAAUUAUUAAUCUUGAACGAGGAAUUCCUAGUAAACGCAGAUCAUCAAUCUGCAUUGAUUACGUCCCUGCCCUUUGUACACACCGCCCGUCGCACCUACCGAUUGGAUGGUCCGGUGAAGCCUCGGGAUUGUGGUUCUUGCCGCUUUGUUGUGGCGUGACCGCGAGAACUUGUCUAAACCUUAUCAUCUAGAGGAAGGUGAAGUCGUAACA
rnacentral:rRNA from 1 species